rnacentral:rRNA from 1 species
UACGAAGGGGGCGAGCGUUGUUCGGAUUUACUGGGCGUAAAGGGCGCGCAGGCGGCUCAUUUUGUCAGGCGUGAAAGCCCCGGGCUUAACCUGGGAACUGCGUUUGAUACGGAUGGGCUAGAGUUCGGGAGAGGAGAGUGGAAUCCCCAGUGUAGAGGUGAAAUUCGUAGAUAUUGGGAAGAACACCGGUGGCGAAGGCGGCUCUCUGGACCGAGACUGACGCUGAGGCGCGAAAGCGUGGGGAGCAAACAGG